rnacentral:rRNA from 1 species
UACAGAGGGUGCGAGCGUUGUUCGGAAUUACUGGGCGUAAAGCGCGCGCAGGCGGCCUUUUAAGUCUGACGGUGAAAUGCCGGGGCUCAACCCCGUGCCCGCCGGAGAUACUGGGAGGCUGGAGACGAGUAGAGGCAAGCGGAAUUCCGGGUGUAGCGGUGGAAUGCGUAGAGAUCCGGAAGAACACCGGAGGCGAAGGCGGCUUGCUGGGCUCGGUCUGACGCUGAGGCGCGAAAGCGUGGGGAGCGAACAGGA